CAAGGAAAAAAUACGGUAUUGAUGGGAAAACGUGGGCUGCUGCAUCCGGUGGUUCUAGGAGUCGGUCUCCUUCUCCUCGUGACCGUCGCAGAGUGCAGUAUUCUGGAGCUCUGUAUUCUAUCUGAUUUUUAACCAUAUAUACAGUCAGCUACCACGCGCAGUGAUUUUGUGUUCGCAAUUAUAAGUUGGUUUCCAUCAACCUCCACAAUCUGCCCAUAUCCACCGAGGUGUACAUAACCCCAAGACCACGGCAGCACCUACCGUCCCUGCUUUUCGACAGCCCACCGGGAGAAAGAAAAUCCACAGUUCGAAAUUGUAUCAAUUGAAGUGGUGCAGUUCCCAUUGGGGAAUCGCACCACUAGUACAGACGUAGUGAUACCUAGUUAUGUAUGAUAUAACUCUUGGUAUAACCUGAUAUAACUCUUGGUACAACCUGAUAUAACCCUUGGUACAACCUGGUAUAACUCGCUGGGAUACGUGGACUCGCUCCGGAAAAUUUUUCGACCGGCAGCGUGCUCGGGUCAGUUGAGGUUAUAUAACCUCCCCGUCCGACCUACGGGUGUGAGCAACGUGAUCCCAAGGAUGGACUUCCUCACGCUGUGAGCCGGUAUACCAUUACCGUCGCAACCAGCUUCGACAGUUGCGUCACUACAAGCAAGCUGCACCUGGCUUUCGCUGCGUGGGAGCAUUUUUCGUCGAUGCCUCAAGAUCAUUGACCCCGUGCCUAAGCCGCCGUCGAUUGUAGGUUCGCUCUGGCAAACCUAAUCUGAAGCCGCCUACCCAACGGAUUUAUUUUUAUGUGUUUUUUCUUCUCUUUCUUAUUAUAUACCGGAUAAUGAAGUGCUUUUUGAUUGGUCCGAUUGGUGGUUCAAUUUAAUUGUGCUGCGGCUAACAUGUACGCCCAUGAAAUCUAACAUGUGGACCUAGUCAAAAAGGAUUUCCUAUACCGGGCUUAAGUUGAAUAUUUAUCAAUUAAAUGGUUAUUAAUACAACUAAACUUUACAGUCAUGCGUGUCGUUACCCAGCCCUCAUCUUAUCAUUUGAUCAUCCAUUCAUUCACCUAAUCAUCUGCUAAUCCAAUCAUCCAGCCAUCUACACAACGAAAGAUCUUUCUGCGUGGGAGGAAAACGUACUGUAAGUUUGUACAAAUAUAAUGAUUCAGGGAGAUAUAAUGACUAACGUGGUAAACUGACCG